AGGAUGACAAGAAUGAAAUAUUGUUUUAGGCUACUCAACAGCAUCCGUCACUCAAGCUCCUCCCCUGGCUUCAGAAAACAAUGAGUCAAUAUGACCUUUUUCUGACACUACCGCCUUAGGAAAAUACUGCUCCACAUAUUUGGAACUGGGGCUCUUCCUGUAUUUAAAUCAAUGGAAGCUAUUCAAAGCCUACGUAGCUUUCUCUUUUUGAAUAGUGGGCAUAGGAGCGCAACGGUUUGUACUCAAAUAAUGAAAGUAAAAUGGAAACCGUGAAUGACAAAAAAUCAAAGUGUUUUCUUACAUCAUCCCAGGUGCUCGACAUGCGUUUUAUUGCUAGAUUCCCUCGGUAACCUCUAAGAGGUUGAUAUUACGAUCCCUAAUUUUACCAAAAGUAAGAGAGGUUAGAGAAGUUUCCCUGUGGACACAGAGUUGGUAAGUGGCCAGGCUGGAAGUCAGAUAAGAAAGUAAAAAGUCAUUGCCUGACUUUAUCAGCAGUUGUUAUUACUGUUAUUCAAUCUAUUCUUAUCCUACUGCUUAAGAUUUAAAUGAAAAACCUCCCAUAUUCCUUUUAAUAUAAUUUUAUAUAAAUGUGAUCAUUUUGUUUCAUAAUCUGCUUUGUAUCACUAAAUAAUUUUCCACCUCACAUAUAAAGCUCUGCAUUGUCAUUUUUAUUGACUACACAGGAUUUCCUGGAAGGUAUUUACUGUAAUUGACUACGCCAGUCCUUUGCUAAUGAACGUUGAGGUCGUUUCUAGUUUUCCCUCUGAAUAUGCUUUUGCAAGCAUAUUUUUACACUCACGUAGUUAUCUCCUUAGGGUAAGUCCUACCCUGGGAAUUGUUGGGCAGAGACUAUACAUUUUACAUUUCAGUACAUACCCAAUGGCCCUGCAAAAGGUUGUAUCAGGUAGCUGCAGGAGUGUGCCGAUUUCCUCACACUCACAGGCACACCAGGCUUAACCAACCGUCUACAUUCCUACCAAAAUGAUAGGGGUUAAUGAUAGUAUUGUUAUUUAUAUUUGCGUUUCUUUCAUCAUUAGGGAAAACAGAGUUUUUCCCUGUGUAUUGGUCAUUUGCAAUUCUUCCAGACUUUAUCUCUAUCUUUUUUAUGCUUUCCCAUUAGGGUCUGACUCCAAAAUUCAUUGCAAAUGCUGUCUCCUGCCUCUUGCUGCUUUCUCAUUGUCAGUGCAGUGUAUCAGAGACUCUGAUCUGUAGCCAAGAGAACUUCAGCGACAUAUUGCCAGGGUGAUUAGUCAAGUUCCAUAAAACAUGUUCCAAGAAGAAAAACUGGUUGAGUCUAAGGAAUAGAACAGCCAUAAACUUCUCCUCAGCUGUCUGCUUCAGAAACAGGUCAUCCCCUGACUUUAUCAGCAGUUGUUUAUCUUAUAAGAAACAAUGAUCCAUUCAAACUUAAUCUUGUCCUUUUGCACAGAGAAAUUUGGAUCAGAGAAGAGGGACCAAGAACUGUUUGGAGGAACAUCCCCAGAACUGGGGGGUUGCCAGGGAGGGAGGACACACACACACAAACACACACACACACACAAACACAAACACAGUUCCAUGCCCCCGGCAGAGGCAGACCACAGACUCAUGGAUUAUUUGCACUGAAACCCAGGUUCGAGAUGCCGUUGCUCCAAGAAAACUGAGACUCAUAGACAAAGUGACGUGUCUGAAAUGAUAGUCCCUUGACUCCCCAAGCAGAGCCCAUUCCACGAGAUGACACUGGCAGGAAGUAAAGCACAGCCCAAGUUGAGUCCCCAGAGCCUAAAACACUGACUCUGCCUCUCACAGUGCCAGGAAAAUGUUGAAAGGCAUUAUGACAAGUACCAUCACCCGAGGCCCAGGAACUUGUGCACUGGACCCCAAGCUCAGCCAGCAUCUUGGCUGCUAGGGCUGGGCAGGGUUCUGAGCGGCUGUGGCCAGAGGGCUACAGGGACAAUAUUAGGCUGCCUUCUUGUUCCUUUACUUAAGAAAGAAUAUAACCAAAUACAGACAGCAAAACAGGGCUGAUGUCCAGCUCUUAUGGUAUCCAGCUUUUUUUCUUACAAAUAUCAUUUGUAUAAUUAGCUUAGUUUGUUCAAUCUUAUCUAUUCAGCUUCAGCCAAAUCCAAGCUCUAAGCCAAAGACAACCAAGCCUGGCCAUGUAGCGAUCCUAUCCUUCCAGAUGGGCUUCUGCCUCAGCCCAGCCCAAAUGUGACCAAAAUCUCUGAUAGGAGAACUGGACAUGGGCUACCCUCUCUCAUCUCACCUGCAGAAAAAUGCAUGGGUCAGUGGCCAACAUUCAUUUCACUGAGGUGACCAAAGACAGGCAGCCAGCCAGCUCUCCAGUGGCAUUUGUUCCCUCUUUAUGGCACUCAUGCUGGUCCCAUUUACCAAAUGCAAUGAAGGCUAUAUUCCACCCAACACAGAUCCUUGGUGGGGCGUAGAAAGGAAGCCUCCUCUGUCUUUCUCAAUUCAAAGGCAUUUUUCUUAACUCUUUAGCUACGUUGUGGCCUAACAGAAUAAACAGUUCAUGUUAAGACUUAGGGAACAACUGGAUAAGCAUAUUUGGGAAUACAGCCUAGGAUUCAGUAGUGAGGACUGUCUUGUGCCAGGAGACCCUCAUGCCUUAUACCGUCUAAUCCUCACAACAACGUUCUAAGGUGGGUUUUUUAAUCUGCACUUGAUACAUAAGGAAACAGAGGAAACAUUUGGCUCAGUUGAUUCUUCUGCAGAAUUUUGGGAACUUCCACUGUGACUUUAAGCAGCUCUUCCACAGACCAAGGGGAAAGAAUGGAGGAGUCUGUCCCGAACGUUGACCUGUCCUGAAGGUUCACUCCUGAUUGCUGGACCACCUGGCUCCCCUCAGCUUCCUCCCCGGGAAAAAAGCGAUCCCAUGCUGCUGGCUUUCUUUGGGAAUAAGAUGUUUCUCGCAACAGAAAAUUCUUUCCAAAACUUUAUGCUUAUUUUAGGAGAGUUGUGUGGAUUCCCAGUCAUCUUCGCACAGGAAGUCUGAUACCCGUGAAGCAAGGAUAGACUCAUCAAGCAAAUUUCAACAACUCUAUUGGUCGUUAAAGACUCAGAAAAUAAACAAAGAAUCAGAGAGGAAAAGUUACACUGGUCCAGAACAUUUGUUUUGGGUCAUGAAAACAUGAGUUUUCAGCAGAAAUUUGCUAAUCCCUGUGGUAUAUUUCUCUCAUCCACUGUGGAGCUUUCCUAUCAGCUCUCAUGAUUCCAGGGGUCUUUAUUCGCCGGCUCUGAAGGUUUCACUACAUGCAAUUGGGUUUUGUUUCUUGCAACAUUUGUUCAAUUUAGAUUAGCAUUUUUGCUUUUUUUCUUUUUUCUCCAAAAAUGAUCCAAAGAAACUAACACCUGAUUCCAAGGAUGAAAGCAAUACCACUUGGAAAUAUUUAAGAUCUGCUUAUAAUCCACCUUACACAAUACCACAUUGGGAAAAAUACCUAAUUCCAUAGAACAUCCAAAAGGAUAUCUGACUUGGUACUAAGCACCUACAUGGAAAUCAACAAAUACACAUUAACUCAUGUAUAUUCAUCAGGAUAAUAAUGGUAAUAAUAACAGGCAUUUGCAAGGAACUUUGCUUCAAAAGAUUUUCACAAAUGUCUUUUUAAAUGAACCUCAGAAUCUCAUGGAGAGCUGAGAAGGGGCUGUGUGAACCUACAUAUCCUGGCUUUGCCACUUGUUUGCUGUGUGACCUGGGCCAGGUUACUGAAGUGAUCUGAGCCUCAGCUUUCUCAACUGUAAAACCUGAAUGAUAAUGAUAGCUUCCUUGCAGAGUUGAUGAGAGACUUCAAGAUAACAUAUGCCAAAGGCACAACAGAGUAUCUGGCACAUGGCAGGCAUUUAGAAGUGGAAAUUAUUAUUAUUAUAAAGCAGGGCUGAUGUAAUUAUCCCCUCUUACAGUUGAGGCAACUGAGGCUGAAAGAGAUUAAAUGAUUUGACCAGUCACGUCAGCCGCAGGGCCAGAGCUGGGACCAGAACCCAGCUCUUCAACCUGCCAAGGGAAAAAGUUCUCUGUUCUGUUUCAAGACCUGAAGUGUGAAAAGCAGAAAUAUUGCCAAAACAGGGGUGUUGAUCUCUGAAUCUUGAAAAUAGCUGAUCCAUGCUUUCAGCAGCAAAGAAGGCAAUUAAAAUAAAACUCUGUCUCCAUGCUAGUGUUCUCAACAGGAAACAAAUCUAAUUCAAGAGAAUUUCUCCUCUCAUUUCAAUUCAGACAAAAUUUUCUAAGGAUUUGAUGAGUUUUAUCUUGACCAUCAUCUUUUUCCUAACCUACUUUCAAAAAUGUACGAAUCCCAACUUUUGGUGUGGGUCACCUGGUCUUCAAUUAAAGUGAAUAUAAUUUCUGAACAAAACAGACCCAAAAGUAAGAGAAGCUUGCCGCCUGUGGAAUGCUGCUGGAGGUCACCUUGUUUAAAUACCAUUUAACAUAUGCACCUCAUCCCUCGCCAGCAGUAAUAAGGGUCAUUUGUGGACCUUUCUGUGGUCUCUGAUACCUGACAGGUAGAACUUUUUAUCUGCUCUUUUUCUUUUCUAGAACUGAUCAGUUCUACAAUACAGUAGGGAUGUCUUCUUCUUGGAACUUCUUUAUAAUAAGUUCCUAUACUCAGCAUUAUUGACGAUAAUUUGAGAUCUGCCUCCUAAGGUUAGAAAAUUUUCAGAAACUUACAGGGACAAAAAUUGACGGUGCUCUCUGCAGUGAGCCUAAUGGAGCUUCUGUGAAAUUGCUGCAAUAAGCUAGUGGAGUAUCUCUCACACUUCUCUAUCUUUUUGAUGAUGUAGGUAGAAUGUCUGGAGUACAGACAGCCAUACCAGCAUCAAUAUAAACCCUAGUGAAUAAAGUGGAGAGAAAGAGAGUUAGAGAAUCCAGGACACUCCCUCCUCGACUUUUUGAUGGAAAGCAUGCCAUGACCUAUAGACAGCACACUCUACUUGCUAAAAGAAUAUCAAGGUUAUAAAUACUUACUUGACACCCUACCCAGUGCAUAAUUUAGCCAACAACUGCUCCAAGUUGUUAGUAAAUUCUCCUUCCAUUUCUUUAUCCUUGGUUUUAUUUUCUUUGCCUUUAUUUUGUCGUUUUGCUUUUUUAUCUCUUCGUUUCUUUGGUAUUCCUCGCAUUCAUUUCUAUUCCUUCCUUUAUCCGUCUGUUCUUUACUAUAGGAAAGUACUUUCAGAAGAAUCAAGCACUAUAGAAAUGUCAAGUUGUUGGAUCAUUAUUACUCUUAACAUCUUUAUUAUUUAUGUCAAGACAUUAUUGUCUUUUGCAUUCUCACCAUUGUAUCUACAACUUGUUCCUCCAACUUUUAUCUUAUCCGGUCUUCUACAGAUUUUUCAGAAUAUGGAGCAUAAACAUUAGUAAUAGAAGCAAACUCAAAUAUCUUUCUAUUCAGGUUUUUGUUUGCUCUGGAGGUACCUAGUGAGUUAGGCAACAUUCAGUAAACACCAUUUGCAGAUACAAUUAUUGUACUGAAACUACAGAGGCAAUUCCAAAGAUAUGAAAGACAUGUUCCUUGAUCUUAGUAAGCUUAGAGCCGAGUCGGAGUGACAAGACACGCCAUGAGCAAUGACAGGGACAUCUAUAAGAUGUGCAGGUAACUGAAGUUCACACAGAGGACCAUGUUUGAGUUGGCCAGGUAGAGGUGACAACGUAAGGUUUUCUGAGGGUGAAUUUCAAGAGGGAAAAGAAAGAUGAGGCAUCUAGAGGAAUGAGGGCAGUCUGUCUACCCUACCUAGGUUGUUUAAUCAUUUUCUAUAGCCUUUUGCAGUCUCCUAGGGAUUAUCCCGUUUUCUGGUGCCUUUCUUACUUCCGUUCUGAAUAUAUUAUCAUUAGCUAUUUAGGAACUAAGAAAGCUCUAAUACGUCUUACUUUAUACAAUUUUUUGUUGUUUCGUUUUGUUUUGUUUUUACUUCCGUGAUCUUGCAUAUUACUUUUAUAUAACUACAGCCUGCUUCUCUAGUUCUUUCAAGUUCUUCAGGUCUUUUCAGGUAUUAUUUUUAGCAUGGCGUGUCAAAGGCAACAUUUAUUUCAAAAGAUUUCUGUGGCAUCUGUUGUUCAAGGUAUGUGGUAUAGCACAGCAGCCUUGAGACUUUAUUCCAGCCCUCGCCACACUCUAUUUUGUCCCUCAGGCAAUUUCAUUCUUUCUGCAAAAAAGAUCAGGUUACAAACAGCCUCCUCCACGCUCAAAUGGGGACGCCAAAGGAGGAUGAUCCAAAUACAGUCUGAAUCUGUUAGACAGUUGAUCAACUUCAAUAAGCUCCAAGCCUGGAAUGGAAUCGCUUUCACUAUCUUUUCCAGCAGGCUGCAUCUUCUUUUUCAAAUUUAUCUGACAUUAAAGUUGACGCAGUGACAUUUUAUUUGAAAGUUAAAAUUCAUCAUGGUAAGAAUAAAAGAGGGGAUGCUUUUAAACGAGAAGCCAGACCCCCAAUACCACAAGAGUUCCUGUCUAAUCGUGCUCUUAAUACCUGAUAGGGGUUGAAACAUGGGCUGCAAACUGGAGCGCUCCCCUACUCUGGCCCUCCCCACACAAAAGCGUAAAGUGCGUCACCAGUCGGCUUCUAGGAAACCUGUGUUCUGUUCCAAAACAAAGGAUGCAAUGUCGGAUUCAAAUGCCUAAAUGAGAUUAAUAUCAAUCUUACAUUUGCACAAAGCUGUGCUUGAUCGAUCAUUUCUGAAAGCUAACAUUUCUCGUGAAGGCGGCAUUUGAUAACUAGAAGGAGAAAACCAGAGGAAGUGUUGUCAAAUGGCUUAGAAAGUGGAAAGUGGGGCAGUGGGAGAAAAGAUCAACUUUUUCACAGUGUUUCCCAAAGGCCAUUCAUGGCAAGGGCCACUUACGGCAUUAGCACUGUUCAUCAGCCUCCACACACAGCAGGGCUCUCUCUCGGCUGUUUUGGCACAUUUUGGAAUUUUGUACAAUUUGCAUGCUUGUUUCCAAUCAAGUCAAUUUAAUAAAGUCCAAUUUUCAUGCAUGUGACUUUGGGUUUUAAGAAAAUAACAUGAGAGGAAAGCAUUUGUCUCACCAGCUAUCCCUUUCUCUACCCAGCUCUGCCUUUUGAAUAGAGAACGAAGAGCUCCGCAUCCCGGGCGGCAUUUCAAGGUUUCAUUCAUCAGGCAAGUUCUCAAGGCUCAAUGUUGAUGGAUAGAUCCGCCCUGGAGCCAACGUUAAAGCCAGACCUUAGAUUUAUGAAAAUAAACCAAAACAAGCGAUGAGACAUUUUGAAAUGUAGAAACUAAGAGGAAAGAACAAGACUUCCCUUAGGAUCUGGGGAGCCGGGGAAAUGCAAGUGUUACCAUCCUCAGUUCAACAACCAACAGAAAAACUCAUGUCACCUAAGUACAAGGUGUGAACUACUGCCAGACCCGCACCUGACUUUUUAGUUAUUCUCCUUGCAUGCAGUGAAUGACUCUCUUGGUCACAUCGUCCUAAAGUCUGUGACACAAAAGGAGACCUAUACGCUUGAAGAAUUGCACAGCGAUAUAUUUACUUAGCAUUCUUUAUUUCGCUAAUCAGGGUACACAAUUCUAUAGUAGAUGAGGUCUGUUCAGGCUUCUCAGCCCAGCCACCACUUCCCUUCCUCUCUGUCAGCAUCCUGCACCCUACAAUCUCCACCAGAAGAGCGAUGUGGGAUUGGGAAAAAGAAAGCACAAGAGACCUGAAGACAGAAGGCUGAGGAUUCAGUCUCAGCAUUGUGAUUAACUGAGUGAUUCUGGCCAAGUCACUACAAUUCACUGAAACCUCUCCCCUUCUGUAAAGUGGGGAUGACGAUAUCCACCUCACAGGAUGCAAUGAAGGAAGCAAUAAGAUAAUGAAAGUGAACAUAAUGUUUCAUUACAAAGAAAGAAAGAGGGAAAGAGGAGAGAGGAAGGGAGGCGAAACUGAAGAGACCUUCCUCCCUCACCCUUUCACACUAGCAGGUAAAGUAAAAUGUUCAGACAGGAAACCUAAAGUAGAUAAUCCAAAAUACAGUAUUCUUAGGAACUGUCAAUGGCAGAAGCCACUGCAAUCUCCAAAUCUGGUCAAGAGCUCAUUCUGAGCACCAUGUUUUGAACCCCCGAGUGCCUGGAACACUGCACUGAACCUCUGGGACUGACCUGCAGGAAAAGACCAAAAGCUUCCUCGUUUCACUCCCUUAGUAUAAAGACAGGAGCAGCUGAAGGACACACCUCAAGAGCAGGGUGAGACAGACACCCCAGACCGUGAACUUACU